GUGAGAGUAGCUCAAUGGUAGAGCAUCUGACUGUUAAUCAGAAGGUUGGAGGUUCGAUCCCUCUCUCUCACA